rnacentral:piRNA from 1 species
UUAUCAAGCCUAUUGAAAUGUUUCUGAUGC